AACGAACGCUGGCGGCAUGCCUAACACAUGCAAGUCGAACGAAGUCUUCGGACUUAGUGGCGCACGGGUGCGUAACGCGUGGGAAUCUGCCCUUGGGUGCGGAAUAACUUCUCGAAAGGGAUGCUAAUACCGCAUAAUGUCGUAAGACCAAAGAUUUAUCGCCCAAGGAUGAGCCCGCGUAAGAUUAGCUAGUUGGUGGGGUAAAGCUACCAAGGCGACGAUCUUUAGCUGGUCUGAGAGGAUGAUCAGCCACACUGGGACUGAGACACGGCCCAGACUCCUACGGGAGGCAACAGUGGGGAAUAUUGGACAAUGGGCGAAAGCCUGAUCCAGCAAUGCCGCGUGAGUGGAUGAAGGCCCUAGGGUUGUAAG
rnacentral:rRNA from 1 species